rnacentral:lncRNA from 1 species
GCAUAAAGGCUUUGAAGGGUGCAGCCCGUGCUGCAGCCCUGUCUGCACGGCAGGUGUGGCAACAGAACAGGUUUCUUCUACCAGGCCAUAAAGAAGAUCGGCGUUUCGGGAGAAAUGCUUAAAAGAUCUCGGGAGAGGUCGAUUCGCCGUUUGAAGGAAGUUCAAUAUUGGAGGAAGUCCAAGAGUGCGGAGGAGGAAUUGCUUUGAUUAUCAACAAGUUCGAGUCGUGUGCAAGAACGGCGUAUCACAUAAAGAGGGAGUCUUUAGUGUUUUAUUAAGUCCUAUUAAUGUACACUUAAAUCUGAACUAGUUUUGCAAGUCCUCGUGGAUGUAGGGUACGUUUGUAUCCGAACCACAUUAAAUUGUUGUGUUCUUUAUUCUGCUUUUCGUAGAUUUAUUACUGUGACAACACAAUAAUUCUGUUACGUCACCUAAUGUCGUAACAUGUAGUCUGUCUCAACAGAUGAGU